AUUGAACGCCGGCGGCAUGCCUUACACAUGCAAGUCGAACGGUAACAGGUCUUCGGAUGCUGACGAGUGGUGAACGGGUGAGUAAUACAUCGGAACGCGCCUAGUAGUGGGGGAUAACUACUCGAAAGAGAGGCUAAUACCGCAUGAGAUCUACGGAUGAAAGCAGGGGAUCGCAAGACCUUGUGCUACUAGAGCGGCCGAUGGCAGAUUAGGUAGUUGGUGGGAUAAAAGCUUACCAAGCCGACGAUCUGGAGCUGGUCUGAGAGGACGAUCAGCCACACUGGGACUGAGACACGGCCCAGACUCCUACGGGAGGCAGCAGUGGGGAAUUUUGGACAAUGGGCGAAAGCCUGAUCCAGCAAUGCCGCGUGCAGGAUGAAGGCCUUCGGGUUAUAAACUGCUUUUGUACGGAACGAAAAGCCCCGGGUUAAUACCCUGGGGUCAUGACGGUACCGUAAGAAUAAGCACCGGCUAACUACGUGCCAGCCGCCGCCGUAA
rnacentral:rRNA from 1 species